CUCAUCAGAGACACACGGGAGGUGAGAUGUCCCAAUGUGGGUACUCUGCCCAUAGUGUCAGUAAAUGCUAUAUAUUAUUAUAUAUUUUUUUAAAUACAGUGAAGGACUUUAGAGAGAGAGGUCCUCUUAAGCUAAACAUCUCCUUAGGUCAGCUGAGAUGUAAAGCACAGUCCUUGUACCCUCCUGUCGUCAAGAUGGCUCAAAAUUCAUGUGAGGAAGUUGGGUCUGCUGUCCUUAAGAGCUCCAAGCAAAGCCACUUGGUAACAAGGUAAUGAAAGUUUUAAGACAAAAGGUGGUGCUCCUCUUAACCAGGAAACACAACACUGUUUAAAUUUUGCAAGAUAAGGAAGCCCAAGGAAGUUCAGAAGUCUUCAUGGCCACUGACCACCUGCUGACAUCAUCUGUGGGUGAAUCACUUGCUGAUCCAAAAUCACCUGAAGUGAAAUUGUCCUUUAAAACUAACCCAUACAUCUUAGGAUGCAAAACCACAUCAUGGAUUUAAUAAAUUCUCAAUUUAUUGUCCA
rnacentral:lncRNA from 1 species